AAGGCCUGGGUGUGACCCUGCAGCACCAGCGGGGUCCCCUCCCUGUGCCCCGUCAUCAUCAUCAUCAUCAUCAUCAUCAUCAUCCUCGGCCCUCUGUGGGGAGGUGUCACUGCUCAGCCUGGGCACUGCUGUGGUGUAUCCCAAAAAAUCCCCCAAAAAUCCAAAAAAAUCCCCCAAAAUCCCAAAAAUCUGCAAUGGAGUGGAGACACACGUGGGACAGGUGUGGGAUGGGCAGGGCAGCUUCAUCCCCAUAAAUCAUCCUGUGGUUUAUCCCAAAAAUCCCAAAAAUCUGGAACAGAGUGGAGACACAGUGUGGGACAGGUGUGGGUUGGGCAGGGCAGCUUCAUCCUCCUAAAUCAAGGAAAUCACCCUGUGCUUUAUCCCAAAAAUCCCAAGGCAGCUUCAUCCUUCCAGAUCACCCUGUGGUUUAUCCCAAAAAUCCCAGGGAAGUUUCAUCCUCCUAAAUUACCUUCUGGUUAACCCCAAAAAUCCCAAGGCAGCUUCAUCCUUCCAGAUCACUCUGUGGUUUAUCCCAAAAAUCCCAGGGCAGCUUCAUCUUCAUCCUCUUAAAUCACCCUGUGGUUUAUCCCAAAAAACUCCAACUGAAUGAAAACAC
rnacentral:lncRNA from 1 species